CUUCUCUCCUGUUUUUCCUUUUUAUGCUACUUUGCUUCACGGAUCUCUCGAGGCGUUUGGUUUUGUGGUUCUCUCCGUCGUGGAUGGCUUCGCUCGUCGUCGCUGCUACCAAGCCAAAGCCCUCUGGAUCCUUUCUCUCACGUGUAACCCUCUUCAGCCGCUACUAACUACGUCUGUUUCAGAUCUACUUUUGACUACUUGUGUGUGGGGAUCCAUACUUAUCCUGGUGGUUUGAACUGAAACUGUAUCUCUCCGGCCAUAUCGUUGGGUUCAAGGUACUCACUUGUUUUCCCUCUCUGCCUUGUUCUAUUGCCCUGAUUUCAGAUGCAGAUCUGAUCAUCGGUGUUUGUGGGGUUUCACUUCUAUCACUGCACGCAAGUUUUGACGGCUGGGGACUCCCACCGCGAAUACCUCCUGCAGCUGUACACACUGACGAUUGCUCAUUCUCUUUAAGCUGGUUAGACUUCAUUGACCUGAGGCUCAACUCUGUUUCGGAUAAACCCUCUUGGCUCCAACACGUCUGGGUGAAGCCACAAAUGUUAGGAUCAUAAGGAUAUACUCUAAUCCUUGGUGCAAUCUUUGGAGGUUUUCCAAAAUGUUCAAGCAUAGCCCACCAUCAAAGUUCAACUCCAACAAGAACAAAUACCAAGAAAUUUAGGUCAGUAAGUUGGAGUCUAUCGAAGCUUGGAGAUUGUAGUCCCUUAGCACUUUUCUUAAUAAAGGCUAGCCAAACUUCCUCGUGUCGGGGCCAUGAGAGACCACUUUUCACCAUCCUCCACUUCGUAGGAGUGACAACUUCCACCAAAAUCCCUCUUCACUCUUUCUUUGGCUAUGUAGUCAAUGAUCAUUGUCGAUUUCCUUACCGUUUGUUGCCUUAUGUGAUGGUUCGUUUGGGACCGGAAGGCACAACAAUACUCGAUUCGAUGAGCAUCGAGGUUAUGGAGCAUUCAACGUCACGAUAUACGGUGACUAUUCCCGUUGAAGAACUUGAAGGACGAUGUAAUCUCUCUUGGAGCUUACUCGUAUGUGGCACCUUUGAACUUUCUUUCGACUUGUUAUCAGGCUUGUCAAAGCUUGUGUCUCUAUCUUUCUAUUGCCUUGUAUUGAAUGUAUCCAGUAGGAUCGCACAUCUACUUUCAGAUGUUGAUUUUAUCUUUCUAGUUGGCUAAGUUUUAUGAAUGAAAUAUGUUGUGUUUCAAAAAAAAAACAAACAAACCAAUAUGAUAAUCACUAUUUUCAAACA